rnacentral:misc_RNA from 1 species
UUUACUUUAGAGUAAAACUCGCUUUUGUGUUUAAUAUCAAUAUUCCUGUUAGAAGAUAAGGAACCAAAAGUCUGUAAUGCCUUCAAUUCGUUAGGCUUUCAUUGAUGGAAUUUUGUGUGGUUUCAAUUUGGAGGCAUGCUUAAUUAUGAACAUGCUCACUCUAUGUCAGUUUCUUUCCUUCUUAUUGCUAGUUCUGCCCUUGUUCCUUUUCAAUUUGUCAGCUCUCCUGUAUCCCUGAAUUCCCAUUUUCAUCCAAUCUUUAUUUUGUUCUUUACCCCUAUGAUGUACCAUGAUCUAAGAUCUUUUUACUUGCCAUCUCAUUAUAUCUGCAAUUAAUCUCUCUCAAUUCGUUUCCUGCCAAGCCAAAUUUCAGUACUAUAUCAAAAUGAAUAAUGUUUGUGUUUUCCCAUCAUUGGAAAUCCUCAAGUGAUCUUAUCUCACUGCAAGACACAUGGGGAUCUAUUAUCUAAUUUUCUUUUGUCUAUAGCAUCUCCACUUUAGUUUAUAUCAGUUGUUUUUCAUUUUCAAAAGUUUCCCUAUAUUGUUAUUGUGGGAAAACUUGAAAGGUUACUUUUUAUUUUAAUUGUGGGCAGAUAUUUAAAUUUUUGUUUUGACUUCGAUUUUUUUUCUCCUUGCAGCUGUUGUUAACAAUAUUUUAAGAA